rnacentral:lncRNA from 1 species
AGUACACAUGGCUCUUACCCAAGCACCCCGGAAUGCCACGUUGGCAGAAGAAGGAUUAAAAAAAAAAAAAAAACAAAGGGAUGAACAGCCAUGAGAUUAGGUUUCUGACAACAGAUUCCUCAUGCUGAAGAAGAGAGAGGUUUUCUGACAACAGAUUCUUGACGAAGAAUGAGAAGAAGGUUUCUGACAUGAGAAGCCUCACGACCUGCCUCUCCCUCCUGGACUUUCUCUGCACUCUACGUGACUGCUGCCUAAGCCUGGUUCAAAUGCAGUUCCUGACUUCUGCCAGCAGCACUCGCCGUUUAUCUUCCUCGCACCCAGAAACACACGACUUACAACAGAAAUCUCUCUGGAGUUGCAUUAGAGAUGGUGUGACAAACAAGAGGGACAGCACAAGGGCUGUAAAGGAGAAGCAUCCCGACCUUUGAUCCACCUCUGGUGUUUAAGAGCAAAACAUGAAGGGAAGGCAGGAGAUGUACAAUGUGUCCUUCUCCCAGCACAACCUCACCUGAUCCUUUAAAAUCAGAAAUGGAGAACUAGGAGUUUAUUUAUAUCUCUGAGGAUAUGGCAGUAGUCCUGAGAAGAAAGUCAACAAGUGGGUGAGCCUGAGCUACCCUCUGCAGCAAGUGAGUAUCAAGACAAGGACCAAAAGAAAUUUAUCUUCUGUCAGCCAACUGAAACGAUGUUAGUUUCUGGGUUGAUCAAGAGAGAUCUGGUCUGUCAGGCCUCUUCAAAACAGCUGGGGGGUGGGGGGGAGAGCACAUUGAAGCAAAGAUCUAGCUACAGAGGCACAAGAAUAGGCUGCUUUUAAACUGCUGUGGUUGCAGUUUAUUCUCCGACUAUAUACAACGUUCCCAAUUGAGUGUUUUGAUUCCAUGUGCCCCUGUACAAUUACUCAAACAAAGCUGGCAAUUGUAGCCCUUAAAAUGCAAGACAUAGUUUUGUUUAGAACUUCAGUAGACCUUUUAUUAGCUGUACACAGCAGGGAGUGCAAACCCCUUUUUCAUAAUAAAGAAACAGUUCUAUGCAAAAAGCCACAAGAUGUAAAACUACCAAAUAAUUCUUCUCUACAAAAUGAAAAUAUAUGGAAAUUAUAUGCAAUGAUGAGUUAAAAUAGGAACAAUUCAGAAUCUGCUGCUUGAAAUUAAAGGGGUAUGAUGAAACAGAGUUACUAUAUGCCUAAGCCAUUUUCAGAGUGGAAAGGUGGAGAAAUGCAUGGGUGUAUAUUCUGGAUUGCUUAAAUAAAUGUGAAUGAAAACAGUAAGGUUGAAAGAAAAACUUCUGUUGCAAUGCAGCAGUAAGUCAAUAAACAUUCAGUUGUCUCGCAUGUCAAUACAUGGAUUCCCAUGGUACCACAAGGUUACAUAGGGCAUGGAUUUAGUUUCUACCCCUACUGCUGGUGAUUUUUAUUUAGAUGUACGAUAUCAUUUCUGUUCAGUGUACAAAUAUCUGACGAUUUUAAAGUGAUUUAUGUAGGUAGAUGAGUUAAGAGCUGGUGAGAGAACUGUUGUGUGAAAUUGUGAGGAGAAGGUCUCUUUGGGUCCUGUGCCACAGAUGAUUAUUAUUUUUAAUUAUUUUUGUUUGCAUUCUAAAAGCAUACCAUAGCUUUUCUGCCACUGAAAUGCUUUUAUGAUUAUUAUUUAUUAUCAUCUAGUAUUUGACACUUAGACCAUUUUCCCCAUUAAAGCUUUAGGUCAUUCAGUGUCAUUGAGGUCAGUGGAAGAAAUGAAUCCCACGGAUGUGUCUUCUUAGCUUUAAACGAGAAAGGGAUUUAAAUGUUUGGUCUUAAAUCCACGGUGAAAUCUUCAGCGUGUCUCCAGCUGUAGGUUCCUAAAUUCUACUGUUAUUAUAUGUCAAGGCUGUUACUGCUGUUGUCACAGCUUUGGUUGAGUUACUUUAACUCUUAAACUCUGUCCAUAGUUUGAUGUGAUAUCCUAGCUGGAACUGGGAACUUACAAGCUUCCCUGUGCUUGUCUUGGCUGAAGUGUUGAACUCUGCUUUUUGUGACCUUGAAUGCAUGAGGUUAAAGUUAGGAGGACUCACCUGUAUUUUUAAGGAAGCUGUACUGAUAUUGUUUUUACUUUAGUAUUUCAUUCAUUUCACUCUGGUGAAUUGUUCACGGAAACAGAAAGGGUUCCUGCUAAAUUGUGGUUUGAACACAGAAUGCAGAACUGUCUAGAUAUGCCUCGUGACAUAGCUGGAGGUUUUCAUAGGUGUCUUGUAUUAAAAUGCAGUGGGGAAGCAGAAGGAUAUAUUCUGUCUCUAUUUCUUGAUUAAGCAGUGAGACUUUACUGGAGAUCAGCUGAUGUGUAAGAGAAUUCCAACCUUGGCAGACUAACAGGUGAUGUUACUUCAAUUUUAGGUCCUUAACUUUUUUCUUUUUGUGAAAGGAAUGUGAAGUUAAUUGUGUCACAUUAAAAUUGAGUGAGAAUGAGGAAAAUCAAGGGAACUAUUUAGCAAAUGAAGUCUAUGUAUUUGAUCCACAAUAAAAUUGUGUUCCUUCAUUGUUUUGACACUGUUGUGGUUUGAGUAAAACCCUGACAAUCUUGUUUUCACUGAACAAGUUACUUUCUGCUGGAGACUGACAAAACAGUAGAACAGUAUUCAGCCUAUUUAGUAAAAUACGAAACUUCUUGUGAUUAGUCUUCAUUUUGAAAAUUGAUGUGUAGUCCAGUUCACCUGUCUUCCGCUUGGCCUUAUAGUGAUAUGUAUGUAUAAAAUACAUCUAAAUACGCCUUUAAGAAUAAAGAUGACAGAAUUAAAUGUCUCGAGUGAAGCACUCUGUAACAUAUCUGUGCAGAACUGGGGAAGCCUCCAGUGAUUUCCAGCAUCGGAGGUCACCCUUUCUUCUGGUAGCUUUUCCAUUAAUGUCCUAUUUUAUGCAUUGUUGGGUUUUUUUGUUUGUUUGUUUUUGCUUAUGUGGUUAAACGCUGGUAACAAAGUUCACGAAGGACUGGAUUUUGUAAAAUGUGAUAUUUUUUAGGGACUAAUGAAGUUGUUUUUCAGAAACAUCCACUACCUGUGUUAUCAGAAGAGUAAAAAUGGCAAAGUGUAUCCUGUACCAGGAAAGAGCAUUUGUUCAGCAGUUCUUUUGAAUUGUGUGGUACUAAAUAAGCAGUAAAAGGGAUGACUGUCACCCGGAGUAAAACCAAGGCAACUGAUCUUCACAGUGCCUCUACAGACACUGAAUUUUGCUAAAAAGAGGAAACAUGAUAAACGAAAGAAUGACGUUUUAAGAUGCUGAAGAGAAUAGACUGUAUGAAUGAUAAUCAGUGUGUGUUUUACAUGUGCUGCCAGGUGGAUGAGACAAAGGUGUGCGUUUGUCAGCAUUACUGCUCUGGGCUUUUGAUCGUUACAGCAAUUUCAAGAAGUUGUUUUAGAAGGGAUGCACAAAUUUCACAGUCAUUUGAGUGAUCUAAUAGAGGUUGUCUAGCCACAGCUCAGAGGAAAAAAUGUUGUUUUCCUCAUAUGCUUGAAAAUAACCUUUCUUCCUUGAAAUCCUAUGUACUCUGUUCCACAGCUUCUGCAGUGUCUGAGCUUAACUCCAAAUUCUUGAAGGCAGUAAUAAGCUUUCCAGACAGCAGAAAGAUAUUUGGCUGACCAUCUUUUUUCCAGGAUCCAAUUGCUAUCCAUUCUUUUUUUUUUUUGGGGGGGGGGGAGAAAGGGGGAGGGUAGGGGAGGAGUAAUUUACACUGUUAUUUAUGAUGUGUAUAUAUGUGGGAAAUGUGAUUACAUUAAGAAUCAUGCAAAUUUAAUCAAAGAGGUUGUGGUCAGCAGUUUUCUCUCUAAUAAAAGAUGCUGUGACUGUAGGUUAUACGUGGCUUCAGAGAUGUACCCAAAGCCAGCAGAAUCUCGGUCUUGUAACGCAAGGUUCAGACAGCCAACUUCAGACUGCAGAUUGUUGACAAUAUUUCCACACGGGACCAUUGCUGAAAAAUGUUCCACUAAAACCAUUUCCUUCCUUUCUCUUCUUCUCUAUGUUCAACUUGUAAAAAUGAAUGUUUUCAAAUGACUUUCACUGGUAAUCUUUGCUUCAUCCAAUACAUAACUUCUCGUCUAAAUGGAGAAAAAAAGAGCCAGCCAAAAUCAGCCUACUUCAGACAGGCACUUGAGUCUGUUUAACUUGGAUUCCAGAUAAGAAAACUAACCACUGUGGGCAUGGCUGACGUACAGUAACAUGCUGGUGAUGUUUCUGAGGGAUCCUGAGUUUUUCUCCAGUGGAAACGCUUGCUUCAUCUCAACAUUUUCUCAAGUGGUGAUAAACCAUUUACUACUCUUCUAAUGAGAUGCUGAAAAUUAGAGGAUAGAAAAAGGGCUGCUUAAAACACUAGUAGAACUGCUAGUUCACUUCUAAAUGUGAUUUUUUUUUUCUUUUCUUUUUUGGUUAUAAAGUGAUCUUUAAUCAAGAAGGCUGGUUAAAGCCUUUUCAUCCACUCCACCCCCAACAAGACAAUGUUUCCUGAAGGCAGCACACGAUACCUUUUUUUAAUUUUAUUUUUGGAUGUAUUUAUUAUGGAUGUAAAUCAGACAGUCUGCCUGCCAAUGCCUUCUUUUCUUUGAAAAGGAGCUUGUUUCCCUCUGCUUUUGAUCUGUUCGAGUGAGUCUCUUCUUUAAGAAUUUCAGAAGCCAUUCCAUGAAUCUGUAACGAAGCGUGAAGUUAAAACAGGCUCCUCCUAACAAGAAGCAUAAUGGUGCUUCACUCAUGAAGGUGGGAAUUAAGUUAUUGAAAGGAGGUAAAUGUGGACGGGCCACAGAGAAGUGAACUGAGGAAACAAAUAGAAAAUUUCAUAAAGGGAGAAAAAGGAAAAGCUGAGAAGUCUAGACAGAUUUAUAAAAAUUGCCAAUUGAAAUGCCCAACAGACUACAAUACAGUAUAAAUUAGUAAUCUGAAUAAUUUCCUAGUGUCGUGCAUUCUGAUGGGGCUUUGGUUAUUUAUAACGUUAAGUUUAUGGAUAAGUAACUGAAUUUGUACAGUGAUAAACGGAAAGAUAAUUUCUGACUGAAUUUUAUCUCUUUCAGAUUUUUCCAGUCUCAGUGCAUCUCAGCUGGAUGCAAUGCUCUGUGUGCAAGAUCAUCAUUGGAGUGCUGACGUGCAUGUGUGAAUUUAAGUGCAAUUAUUUACUUGUGUUCACUUGUGGGAGUUGAUUGAAUGGCCUGAGGAAAGCAGAUGAAUAAUGUAAGGAAAUCUUUGCAGAAUCACGCAAAGUUCUAAAUGGUUUUCAGUGCAACAUGAAACAUCCCUUACUCUUCUCUUCUUCUGAAUCCUCAGUUUCAUAUGCUUUCGUUGAAUUAUUUUUCUCCUUUCUCAUCAUCAAGUAAUCAACACUAAAUUGUUUAAAGGUGCUAUUACUGAACUUUCUGCUCUCUUCCAUGAAUUAAAAUUUUAUUUUGUCAAGCGGUGCAAGAACUCAGAAAAUAAAAACUCAGAAAAUAAACAUUUCUUUCCACUUUCUUGUGUGAUAUUGCUUUCUGUCAUUUCCAGUGUCCCCACACGUGUCAUUUUCAUCACGCUGAAAGCACAGUCCGUAACUGAAAAAUGGGCUUUGAAUUUGUGCAAUUGGCAAAAGCUGUGGCCUAAAAAGGCAUCGGAGCCCUUUCAAAAUGUUAUGAUAGAUUUUCCACAGAGAGGAUUUCUUUUUGCAUUGUACUGUAGAACAUAGAAUUAAUAUAAUGGAAAGAGAUGAUAGGCAUGCUCAGAAAGGCAGUUGUAUCUCUAAUAAUGGCUUCACAAAGUAUAGUUUGAAAGUGUAUUGUUUUCCCAUUGAAACUGGGAUAUAAAUGUGUAAUGUUACAUUACACAUUAAUAUAUUGUUUUCUAUGUAUUGUAAAGUAAAUUUUCUCUAUCAGAUGGUUACAAAUGAUGACUGGCAUCCUUUGGUAUCUAUGGAACCAAAGUAGCAUUAAUAAAAACAAUAAAGGCCGAACUGUCCCAGUGUUCCUGUGUGUGCUGUAGGUAAUAAGCUAAGUAUCAACACAACAGAAGGGCUUUAGUAAAUGGAAGUCAGAUGUUUCAUACACUGUGUGUGAGCUACUUUUGUGUCCGUGAUGUCAGCACAUCAGCCAAAAAUUGGAGCUCGCUGGUGAUUCUCGAGGGUCUCCUUUAUCUUGUUUUGAGCAAAAUUGUAAGAUGAGUUGCUGGCCUUCACUUGCAUACCUAUAUAUAUAUAUUACAUAAUGACUGUGUGUAGUGGUGUAAGGACAUUUAAAAAUUGGAAUUCUGAUUCUUCACUUAAUUUUCAUUUUUUUUUCAAAUAAAGGUAUCUUAUUCCUUCUCAUUUCCUUAGGAAUAAUCUCUUAAUGUAUUGCCAGCUUUCUCUGAGGUAUUUCCAACAGAGAAAUGGCUCUCUCAAUUAGAAAAGUGUAUCAGUUAACAACUGGCCCUGGAUAAAUCUAGAAAGUAUUCAAGAUGUUUGUCUUGCACGCUUUCCUGCAAGUCAGCUGCUGCCACUGCCUUUUCCCUUAUGUUAAUAUUAGGUCUUCUGCCUGUUAAGCGGCCACUUAGGUACUGAUUGCCACAAAAGCCUGGAAGCUAGGA